AUGGCUUUGGAAAAUGGUAAGAUGGCUUAAUCUCUUAGUAUUGAUAUAAUUGUUAUUGGUUGGUUUGAUCCACCUUUGGUGGAGGUGGUUAUUUGUUGUAUUAUUGUGAAUUGAGGCCAUGAAGGGCAUUAUAUGAAUGUUAUUAUAUUGUUGUAUUAUUAUACACAUAUGAGGCUAUAUGUAAAGUUUUAUGUGAAGCUAUAUGUGAAGGAAUGAUGUGAAUGAGUUUUAUGUGAAGCUAUAUGUGAAGGAAUGAUGUGAAUGAGUUUUAUGUGAAGCUAUAUGUGAAGGAAUGAUGUGAAUGAGUUUUAUGUGAAGCUAUAUGUGAAG
rnacentral:lncRNA from 1 species